UCCAGACUCCUACGGGAGGCAGCAGUGGGGAAUACUGCACAAUGGGGGAAACCCUGAUGCAGCGACGCCGCGUGAGUGAAGAAGUAUUUCGGUAUGUAAAGCUCUAUCAGCAGGGAAGAAAAUGACGGUACCUGACUAAGAAGCCCCGGCUAACUACGUGCCAGCAGCCGCGGUAAUACGUAGGGGGCAAGCGUUAUCCGGGUUUACUGGGUGUAAAGGGAGCGUAGACGGCAUGGUAAGUCAGAUGUGAAAGACCGGGGCCCAACCCCGGGACUGCAUUUGAAACUGUCAGGCUGGAGUGCAGGAGAGGUAAGUGGAAUUCCUAGUGUAGCGGUGAAAUGCGUAGAUAUUAGGAGGAACACCAGUGGCGAAGGCGGCUUACUGGACUGUAACUGACGUUGAGGCUCGAAAGCGUGGGGAGCAAACAGGAUUAGAUACCCUGGUACA
rnacentral:rRNA from 1 species